GACGAACGCUGGCGGCGUGCUUAACACAUGCAAGUCGAACGAUGAAACCGCUUCGGUGGUGGAUUAGUGGCGAACGGGUGAGUAACACGUGGGCAAUCUGCCCUUCACUCUGGGACAAGCCCUGGAAACGGGGUCUAAUACCGGAUAACACUCUGUCCCGCAUGGGACGGGGUUGAAAGCUCCGGCGGUGAAGGAUGAGCCCGCGGCCUAUCAGCUUGUUGGUGGGGUAAUGGCCUACCAAGGCGACGACGGGUAGCCGGCCUGAGAGGGCGACCGGCCACACUGGGACUGAGACACGGCCCAGACUCCUACGGGAGGCAGCAGUGGGGAAUAUUGCACAAUGGGCGCAAGCCUGAUGCAGCAACGCCGCGUGAGGGAUGACGGCCUUCGGGUUGUAAACCUCUUUUAGUAGGGAAGAAGCGAAAGUGACGGUACCUGCAGAAAAAGCACCGGCUAACUACGUGCCAGCAGCCGCAGUAA
rnacentral:rRNA from 1 species